UCUGGCUUCAGCUCAGUGUUCAAACCCCUCACACCUGAGAGAGCUGGACCUGAGAUACAAUCACCCAGGAGACUCAGGAGUGAGAGUGCUGUCUGCUGCUAAACUGGACACACUCACACUGCUUGUGGACCAUGGAGGAAAGAACAGGACCAAACCAGGACCCAGGAAAUACGGCUUUCAGUUCACACUGGAUCCAAACACAGCGCGCAGAAAGCUGUCUCUGUCUGAGGGGAACAGUAGGGUGACACACACCGGGGAGAAAAAGGCCAUAUCCUGAUCAUCCAGAGAGAUUUGAGUACUGGUCACAGGUUGUGUGCAGAGAGAGUGUGUGUGAGCGCUGUUACUGGGAGGCUGAGUUCAGUCUGUCUGAGUGGGGGGAUGGGUUGAUAUAGCAGUGACAGAUAAAGGAAUCGGCAGGAAAGGACGAGAAUGUGUGUUUGGAGGGAAUAAAAACUCCUGGAGUCUGAGGUGCUAUGAACUCAGUGACUCUGAUAAACUCAGUUACUCUGAUGAACUCAGAUUCUCUGUCUGGCACAAUAGUAACCCAACAGACAUACCUGACCCCCCCUCCCCCUUCCGCAGAGCAGGAGUGUGUGACGAUGGUGAUGAUGAUGAUGAUGGUAGAGGAGUGUGUGUGUACAGGGUAGGAGUGUGUGUGGACCAUCCGGCCGGCACUCUGUCCUUCUACAGCAUCUCUGACUCUGUCACACUGACCGUCCUGCACAGAUUCCACACACACUUCACUCAACACACACCCCUCUGUGCUGGAUUUUAUGUGUGGAGAUCCUCAGUGUCCCUCUGCUAACUGGAGUAGACACACACACACAAACACACAUGCGCGCACACACAAACAUGCACACACACACACACAUACGCAUGUGCACACACACACUCAUAUACACAUACACACACACACCACACUCAUAUACCCACUCACACACUACACACACUCAUACACACACACACACACUCAGAUACACAUAGAUGCACCCACACCUACACACAUGCAUGCACACACACACACUCAUACACACACAUACACACCACACUCAUAUACCCACGCACACACACACACACCACACACACUCAUAUACACAUACACACACACUUGUUUUUAUUCAGUCAUGGGGACGCAAGUACUGACAGUGACUUGUGGGGACUCCCUGUUCCACACGUCACAGAGUUUAAAAAAAUCAAGCAUGUUCUAAUGCUGUUUCUAAGUACAAAUACCACUUGAAAUUUUCAGUAGGACCUAAAUAAAGCAAAUUGACAUUUCGCUGCCUCCUGGAGACUAGAAAUUUCAGGUAUAAAAUCAUACUGAGGACCAUCUGAAACACUGUGUUUUCAGGGAUAACAUCAUACCGAGGACAAUCUGAAACACUGUGAUUUCAGGUAUAAAAAUCAUACAGAGGACAAUCUGAAACACUGUGUUUUCAGGUAAAACAUCAUACCGAGGACAAUCUGAAACACUGUGAUUUCAGGUAUAAAAAUCAUACAGAGGACCAUCUGAAACAAUGUUUUCAGGUAUAAAAUCAUACCGAGGACCAUCUGAAACAGAAAAUGUUUGGUCUUGUUAUCCUAUACACAUGGGUGUAUUCAUUUUAAAAUUGAUCUUACAAUACCAAAGGUAACAACUGACAACUGUUGUAAUACUGUACAUUUAAACAGAUACAGAACUUUGUACAUUUUAGAGAACUGCACUUCAGUACACUAAUAAAAUUAUGUGACCGAGGCACCAAAUACUGUCAUUUAAAUGAUUCCAAAACCUUCCACAAAUCCCAAAACUACAAAACUUUAAAAUUCUGGAAAGGAUCCACACAGACAUUGUAUACAGAAAAAAUAAAGCCUCCAUGUUGCUUGCUGUUUAUACUUUUGUGCAUGUAAAACUGUAGCUCCUUAGGAAUUUUUUCCCUAUGGAUGUCUACAUUACCUAUUAGAAAUGUUUGAAGGCAUAUCUCAGAAAACCUAUUCUAGUAAAUUAUCCUAUUCUCCUAAUAGCAAAAAUAGCUGGUUGGAGGACUAGCCGUUUAACUGUGAAUCUAUAAACAGGUGCACAAUACACACAUGACCUUCUGUAUAUACAUAAGGGAUUAAAAAAUGAAAACAUCAGGAGCAAAAAUGUCUGGAAAUAAUUUAUUUAUUUCCCCCAAAAAGGAACAUUAACAAGUGUAACCCAAAGGUACAUUACACAUGUAGAACAUGUAAAUGCUAGUACAUGUAGCAUUUCUGAAAAGGAGCAGUGCAUGUAACAGGACUGAAACAAAAUAGGCGUACAUUCUCAAAUACCCCCUCUCUGUUUCUGGAGAUCUCAAAUGAAUGUACUUAAUGUACCAACAUUAAA